UCUCCGCUUAAGUUUAAGAUCAAGAAAACUCAGAGCAAGGAAGAAAGUGACAUCAAGGAAAAACUGCGAAGUAAAAUUUUCCAACGAAUCCAGAGAUCGGCCAUAGCAGGUACAGGUAAUGGAAAAACUGCUCACUCGGUCAGCUUAAACCACCCGCUACCACAAGAAAACCGGUCUGGGAAUCACAAACAACAACAAAAGCCCCUGAAUUAUACACCGAAAAAGGGAAAACUUCCAUCUUACCAUGAAGCGCGAAGAUCAAAAGAAUUUGUGGCUUCCUGCAUUAUUCAUGAAAACCAAUCUAAAAAUACUGAAUCAUGUGUCGAGGCGAAACGACAAAGCAAGGAAACCAAGCAAUCACCGCAUCACAAAAAAUAUCAAAGAAAGGAGUGUCAAGGUAACAAGGCUAACGCUACAGCCGUUUCUCUAUCCCAUGCUCUGAAACACUUAUUGAGGAACCAUCGUACUAAGCCUCCAAUAACUAAGGUAAGACAAG